UACGAAGGGGGGCUAGCGUUGUUCGGAAUUAUUGGGCGUAAAGGGUGCGUAGGCGGUUUGGUAAGUCUCUUGUGAAAUCUAUGGGCUCAACUCAUAGUCUGCAAGGGAAACUGCCGGGCUUGAGUGUGGGAGAGGUGAGUGGAAUUUCCGGUGUAGCGGUGAAAUGCGUAGAUAUCAGGAGGAACACCUGUGGCGAAAAGCGGCUCACUGGACCAUAACUGACGCUGAUGCACGAAAGCUAGGGGAGCAAACAGG
rnacentral:rRNA from 1 species